rnacentral:rRNA from 1 species
AUACGUAGGUGACAAGCGUUAUCCGGAUUUACUGGGCGUAAAGGGCGUGUAGGCGGUCUUGCAAGUCAGAAGUGAAAUUCCUGAGCUCAACUCGGGCGCUGCUUCUGAAACUGCAGGACUUGAGUGCUGGAGGGGAUAGCGGAAUUCCUAGUGGAGCGGUAAAAUGCGCAGAUAUCAGGAGGAACACCGGUGGCGAAGGCGGCUUGCUGGGCUUUUACUGACGCUGAGGCUCGAAAGCGUAGGUAGCAAACAGGAUUAGAUACCCUGGUAGUCCACGCUGUAAACGAUGAUUACUAGGUGUGGGGGGACUGACCCCUUCCGUGCCGCAGUUAACACAAUAAGUAAUCCACCUGGGGAGUACGGCCGCAAGGUUGAAACUCAAAUGAAUUGACGGGG